rnacentral:rRNA from 1 species
UACGAGGGGGGCUAGCGUUGUUCGGAAUUACUGGGCGUAAAGGGCGCGUAGGCGGACAGUUUAGUCAGAGGUGAAAGCCCAGGGCUCAACCUUGGAAUAGCCUUUGAUACUGACUGUCUUGAGUUCGGGAGAGGUGAGUGGAAUGCCGAGUGUAGAGGUGAAAUUCGUAGAUAUUCGGCGGAACACCAGUGGCGAAGGCGACUCACUGGCCCGAUACUGACGCUGAGGCGCGAAAGCGUGGGGAGCAAACAGG